rnacentral:hammerhead_ribozyme from 1 species
AUCCAGUUGACUAGUCCCAAAUAGGACGAAAUGCGCGUCUUGGAU